UCUACAUGACAGGCGUGUAGCCUUUAAAGACCUUUAUGUUCUUAAGGUUUGGUACCCCGCGAGAUUCAUUAAAGUCCUAAUCCCCAAAGUGAUGGUGUUAGGUGGUGGGCCCUUUGGGAGGUGAUUAGGUCAUGAAGAUGGAGGCCUCACAAUUGGAAUUAGUGCCCUUUUAAAAGAGGUCUCAGAUAAAUCCCCCAGUCUCUGCCAUGUGAAGAUACAAGGAGAAGUGAACAGUGUGUGACCUGGAAGCAGGCUUUCACCAGAACUGGACCAUGCUGACACCCAGAUCUUGGAUUUCCAGACUCUGGAACUGUGAGUAAUUUCUGCUCUUUACAAACUACCCAGGCUAUGCUAUUUUGUUGAAGAUGCCCAAAUAGUAAGACAUGUCCUGACCUAUUGUAUCCUCAGAAUACCUUCCAGGAGUGUGUAAAAUACCUAAAGGGAGAGACACCAUCUUACCCAACCCCGUUUCCUAGACAGCUAGUCCAGUCCCUAUCAUUUCAGGAGCUCAAUCAUAUAUUUGAUAGAUAUAUUUGAUAGAUACGAUGUGAGAGGACAAUAAUCUACAGAUACUUUAAAAUUCUUUGUGGUUCUACAAGGGAAGUUACAAUGGAAUAUUGUAUGAGGUAUUUUUUAAAAGACUGUUUGCAGCACUGUUUUCUUCAAGUUCGCAUUUUCAGUAUUUAGAAGAUAAGGAUGAGAAUCACGGGCCUGGACAUAAAUGGAAGACCCACGCUCCACUUUCAGUUCAGUCAUCCUCAAGUACUUGCAAGGAGCUACGUGGCCCUACUUUUCUUGUCUCCCUCAGGCAGGUACUCAGAGCAGCUGGAUACAGGCUCCCACAGCCAGACACCUGCAUCACGAAGCUCACCGUGGCCUGCCAACCUCCUCACUGAUGACACCCAGGAUGAUGUUCUCCAACCCUGUCUGCACCCUUAGCUGUGACCAGCCCCGAACCACGGCCUGCCAAAGCAGGAGACCCUCACAAGUUCUGCACCUAAUGGAAGAAUCUUUCUUGUUUUCCUGCCUGAAGGACAAGAAGGUUUUCAGGUUCCUCCAGGAGCAGCCAGUUCCAAAUAGCUCAGGUCACCUCUUUCUCCAUGCGGUAAUCUAGCAGACCUUCAACUUUUUCAGCAAAAAGGGAUGAUAAUUCUCAUUGGACUGAUCAGCAGCUAGAAUUUUCGGAGGCCUGUUUGGUGCAGGAAAUGGAGAUGGAAAGACUUUCUGAGCAAUGAGGACUCCAGCCAUACUUUGAAGAACUCCUUCCAAAGUACCAGGCUCAGGGAAUUCCCUGGUGGUCCAGUGCUUAGGACUCUGCGCCUUCACUGCUGUGACUUGGAUUCAAUCCCUGAUCCCACAGGCAGCUGGACGUGGCCAAAAAAAACAAAAACAAAAACAAAAACAAAAACCCAAAAGUAAAUACAGAGUACCAGGGUCGAUCUGAGAAGGAAAGUACACAGCUGCUGUUGCCUGGGACAUUGUCAUACUGGAAGUUAAGAUGUGAAAAUCAGUAAAUGCUUUCUUUGUAUUAAUAAGCUCAUCAGAAGACUCAGGAAGUUGAAAAGGAGACUUAAUCUUCAACAGUAUGUCUCAUCUACAGUCCUCCCUCAGUACCCAAGGGGGAGAGGUUCCAGAACCUCCACGGAUACCGUGGAUCUUCAAGUUCCUUAUAUAAGAUGGUAAGAUUGCUGCCACGUCUUGCUUGCUGUCCACGGGGUGUCGCUGCAGGACCAUUUUCUUAAGAUUCCCUGUCCGGGAUGGAGCACUGGAGUGGCAGGUUAUGCAUUUUUCUUGUGCCUGAUACCACCAUCUGCAGUCAUCUGCACAUCUCUCCAAAUAGAAUGGUGUUGGUCCAGCAACAUCACUGAUGUAAUAACUACCCCAGGUAAGUGAGACUAUGGACACAAUAAUCAGUUUUAAUGAUUUUUUAACAAAACAUCCAGCUAGUGACUUGAUUGUAGUUCGAGACUGGUUAGUAGCAGUAACGAGAUGACCCCAGUUCUACCAUUGUCCUGAAAGAAGUCCCCUUUGUGGCUCCUGCCUCUGCACACAACCAAUGCUUCAGCAGACUUAGGUCAUUCUCAAAGUUAUAAUCCUGAUCGCUACCUAGAUCUUGAUAGGGCUUCUCUACUGUGCCCCAAUAGAUACUCCACAAAGUCAGGUUGUCCACUGGGAGCUUUGACCAGCUGCAAGCGCCCAGCAGGAUAUGUAAAAACCCAUUUCUGGACACUGAGUUUGGGGGCUAAGUAGAGGCAUCUCCUUGAGCUUGGUCUACACACAGAAGUAUUCCCAAAUGAUAGCCAGGAACCUGUUGCACAUGGCUGGUAAGUGCACUACGAGGUAAGUGGUGAGGGUGAAUGAGAAAUGCAGAUACGGAAACUGGAGAAGUAAACUAAGUGGACAGUGUAAGUGAAAUCCAUAACCCACUCCCCUUACAGGAUGAAGCAGGAAAAGUUGAGGGCACAGGUUUUUGCUCAUUAAUGGAGAGUCAGCCUGGAAAGUUAGUUAGAAAACCCUCUUUCCCCAUUCUCUGAGGUUCUUAAGUGAUGCCUUUGAGUGUGUCUGUAUACAUAGGGUACAUAGAAGGUUUGUGAAAUCUGUGUUAUCUGGAUAAGGAUGGAGGGAUUAAUAACCAAACACUUUGCCUAGUAUGAAGAAAUGAGUUGUUUUUAUGGAUCACUAAUUAAUUCCUGGCUGGAAUGUGUUGGCUUCUAAGUGAUAAACUAUCCUUCCAACUAAGAUAAAAGUUCAGUCAGUAGAAAUUAGACUUGCCCUCCAUUCACACAUAUAGACUCUGCUGAUGGGCUCUUUGGUGAAAUGAGGCAAAGAAUGAUAAACCUCUAACUCUAUAGUCACAGCCUUCUGGAAGAUGGACCAGUAAAGAGCUAGAAUACUGCAUGAACUUAAAAAUGGGAAAGGGCUGUGUACACGAUGAAACAUCUGAGCUCAGGUAGCAGACCUUAACUGCCGUCAGCAGCUUUAUAUUCAUCUUGUUCUAAUACUGUAUUAAAUAGAACAGAAGGAACAAGGAAGGUUAUAUCCAGAAAAGAACUAUUGGCAUAAGUGCAUUCUUGACAGGCUUCAGGAGGCACAAUUAAGAGGUCACCUGUUUUCAAUCAUAUCCAUCCUGGAAGAAAGAAUACUCAGUAUGAGAAUAUUCUGCUCUGAGACAACAGAGGAAAUGGAUAUUCUCUUUGGCCAAGAUGGUGGAGUAGAAAGACCCUGAGCUUACCUCCUCUCAUGAGCACACCAAAAUCACCAGUACUUGCAGAACAACCAUCAAUGAAAAAGACCAGAACCAACCAGAAGAGAUCAUCUACAGCUAAAGACAUAAAAAAGGAACCACGAUGAGAAAGGAUGGCAGCAAGGUCCAGAAGGCUCAAAUCACUGCUGUCCUCCAUCAGAUGCUUCAGCAAAUCUUCAAACUGUUCAGCAUAAGAGGUUGGUUGGAAUGAGACUGGCCUGGACAAGUUCUUCACUGAACUUCAUCAGCAUUGGCAAGUCCUGGAGACCGGCUUGGUGCAGUAGUUGGGGAUGGAAGGACUCCCCUGAGCUGUGAAGACUCCAUAAUGGCUGUGAAAAAGCACUUCCAAGCAAACAGUUUUUCUCUGGAAAAGAAAGAACAGAGCUGCUACACCUGGGUAGUUGUCAGAGCAAGAAAUCAUGAAAUCCUUCUCUUUAUGAUCAAGCUUGCAAGAAAGAUUAAGAGCUAAGGAACUAGAGGAUCUUAGUUCCCUGACCAGGGAUCGAACCCAGGCCACAGGAGUGAAAGCUUGGAGUCCUAACCACUGGACCACCAGGGGACACGGGUUCGAUCCCUGGUCCGGGAAGAUCCCGCAUGCCGUGGACCAACUAAGCCCGUCCGUGCGCCACAACUACUGAGCCUGCGCUCUAGAGCCCGUGUGCCACAACUACUGAGCCCACGUACCACAACUACUGAAGCCCAUGUGCCUAGAACCUGUGCUCUGCAAUAAGAGAAGCCACCGCAAGGAGAAGCCCGCACACCACAACGAAGAUUAGCCCCCGCUCGCCACAACUAGAGAAAGCCCGCAUGCAGC